rnacentral:rRNA from 1 species
GAUGAACGCUGGCGGCGUGCCUAAUACAUGCAAGUCGAGCGAACGGACGAGAAGCUUGCUUUUCUGAUGUUAGCGGCGGACGGGUGAGUAACACGUGGAUAACCUACCUAUAAGACCGGGAUAACUUCGGGAAACCGGAGCUAAUACCGGAUAAUAUUUUGAACCGCAUGGUUCAAAAGUGAAAGACGGUCUUGCUGUCACUUAUAGAUGGAUCCGCGCUGCAUUAGCUAGUUGGUAAGGUAACGGCUUACCAAGGCAACGAUGCAUAGCCGACCUGAGAGGGUGAUCGGCCACACUGGAACUGAGACACGGUCCAGACUCCUACGGGAGGCAGCAGUAGGGAAUCUUCCGCAAUGGGCGAAAGCCUGACGGAGCAACGCCGCGUGAGUGAUGAAGGUCUUCGGAUCGUAAAACUCUGUUAUUAGGGAAGAACAUAUGUGUAAGUAACUGUGCACAUCUUGACGGUACCUAAUCAGAAAGCCACGGCUAGCUACGUG